CUGUCUCUACGAGAAGGUUACCUGCUCCUCUCUCCAGCUUGUGCCGCUUCCAGCAGUAAGUGUGGUCAGCUCAGCACCGCAGCGUGCCCGCUUUCAGAGCUCGUGGGACCUUUAUUGCCUGCCGAAACAAAGUUAAAGCAAGCCUGUCAAAGUCCAGGAGGUGUUUCGCCCCCCUCCAUAUCUGGUGGCUGUCCGCGCCUUGCCGUGGGAGGCAAGCUGCAGUGGCUGGUGGCGGUGGCAGGGCGAGCAGACCAGCAUGAGGCCGGGGCAGUCGCACCAGCUAGAGCCCCUCGAGGCUUUUUGGGAGCAAGCCAGGCAGGCCACUUCGGCUGAGAAUCAAAAGGAAAUGCCUGUAAGGAAGGACAUUUAUUCAGUGCAGAAGAAACACACUUCUUAUGCGCAUCUGCUGAGCAUGAUCUGGUUAGUAUUUCAACAUGCAAAUGCAGGUGAUGGAAGGAUUCUGGAAGGAAAGUGAAAAAAUGACAUAAAUGAGCUGGAACAACAACUGUGCACUGGCAAGGAGUACAAAGAAAAGUAAGAAGAACUGGAGAUCGUCCUAAAUGACAAAGACUUUGUUUUCCUAGUUAUUGCUAAAACACUGUGGAAAGAGUCUCACAAAAUGGCAAGUCACUAUUUCCACGGG